GGCCCCCCACCCCACCCCACCCCGGCCAGAGACGGAGCCUCGGCGCCACCCCCGCAGUCCCGGCGGGCCCAGGCCCUCAGCGCCGCGCCGCCCUUAGACGCACCGCGCGGGACCGGCCCGACCCGACCCGACCCUCGGUGCCCCCGCCUCCCGGACCCGGGGCAAGCCCUUCCCUUCUCCCCUCCCCUCCCCUCCCCUCCCCCUUCCUCCCCCUUUCCACCCCCCGGGACCUGGUUCAUGAAUUAUGUCGGCCACCAGCGUAGACCCUCAGAGAACAAAAGGACAAGAUAAUAAAGUACAAAAUGGUUCGUUGCAUCAGAAGGAUACAGUGCAUGACAAUGACUUUGAACCCUACCUUUCUGGACAGUCAAAUCAGUACUUUCAGGUUUACCAAGCCAUCUCCUUACUACAACUCUUUGAGAAUAAUAGCUAUCCCUCAAUGACUGAUCCCUACCUUUCCAGUUACUAUCCACCAUCUAUUGGAUUUCCUUAUUCACUCAGUGAAGCACCAUGGUCUACUGGUGGUGACCCACCUAUUCCAUAUCUCACCACCUAUGGACAGCUUAGUAAUGGCGACCAUCAUUUCAUGCAUGAUGCUGUUUUUGGACAACCUGGGGGUCUGGGAAACAAUAUCUAUCCACACAGAUUUAAUUUUUUCCCAGAAAACCCUGCAUUUUCAGCAUGGGGAACAAGUGGAUCCCAAGGACAACAGACUCAAAGUUCAGCUUAUGGAAGCAGUUAUAGCUACCCACCCAGUUCUUUGGGUGGUACUAUGGUUGAUGGACAGACAGGAUUUCAUAAUGACACUUUAAAUAAAGCACCUGGAAUGAAUAGCAUUGAGCAGGGAAUGGUUGGACUUAAGAUUGGUGGAGAUGUGACAACAUCUGCAGUUAAGACAGUAGGAUCUGUUAACAGUGCUGUAAUGACUGGUGCUCUUUCUGGUAAUGGUGGAUCAAGUGUAAACUUACCUGUUUCAAAACCAACAUCUUGGGCUGCCAUUGCCAGCAAACCUGCAAAACCACAACCUAAAAUGAAAACAAAAAGUGGACCUAUAAUCGGAGGUGCUUUACCUCCACCACCUAUAAAACAUAAUAUGGACAUUGGUACUUGGGAUAAUAAGGGGCCUGUGAGCAAGGCUCCCGCUCCCCAACAGAUUCCAUCACCUCAGUCUCUCCCACAGCCACAACAACAGAUUGUUCAGCCUAUUCCAACUCAGCCUCCUCCUUUGGCCCAGACACAAUAUCAGAACCCUCAGCAACCACCCCCAAACCGCUGGGUAGCCCCUCGAAACCGAAAUGCAGCUUUUGGACAAAGUGGAGGAACCAGUAGCGAUAGCAAUUCUACUGGAAAUGCCCAAACUAAUUCUGUUCCAAGUGGAGAAUCACACCCUGUCCUUGAAAAACUGAAAGCUGCCCAUAGUUAUAACCCUAAAGAAUUUGAUUGGAACCUUAAAAAUGGACGUGUGUUCAUAAUAAAGAGCUAUUCUGAGGAUGAUAUUCAUCGUUCCAUUAAAUACUCCAUUUGGUGUAGCACAGAACAUGGAAACAAACGUUUGGACAGUGCUUUCCGCUCUAUGAACAGUAAGGGUCCUGUCUAUUUGCUCUUCAGUGUCAAUGGUAGUGGACAUUUUUGUGGAGUGGCAGAAAUGAAGUCACCUGUGGACUAUGGCACUAGUGCUGGGGUCUGGUCUCAGGACAAAUGGAAGGGGAAAUUUGAUGUCAAGUGGAUCUUUGUCAAGGAUGUGCCCAACAACCAACUUCGACACAUCAGACUGGAGAAUAAUGACAACAAACCAGUUACAAACUCCCGUGACACACAGGAGGUACCCUUAGAAAAAGCUAAACAAGUGCUUAAAAUUAUUUCCACUUACAAGCACACAACCUCCAUCUUUGAUGACUUUUCUCAUUAUGAAAAGCGCCAAGAAGAAGAAGAAGUAGUACGCAAGCAACUCAGACACCAUCUAAGUUACAGAGCGGUUGUGAUCUGCAUCAGUGGAGGGCAUAUCCACACCGAUGAAAUUACAGAUCCUUGAAGUAUUAAAGUACAAGUCAUGAAAAUAGAAAAGUCAAGGAAAUGUCAGGAUAAGACUGCAUGGAUGAUCAAAGCUGGGGUCCAUGAGCAAGCAAAGUGACAUGCUGGUGAUGUAGUAUAGUCAUUCAUGUGUGAUUGUCUCCAAUCUUCAGGCUUAAUUUUUCAGCUUACCAAGCCUUUUCACUGAGUCUCAGAAGUUCAGUGACUCAUCCAUGGGUUGCACAUCUAGAACGGCAGAAUCGAAACAAACAGUAAGAAUAAAGAUAAACUAGAACUUUUCACAAACUCACCUAUGAAAAACAAAAAUGCUGGUGCUGUAUCUAGGCAUCAGGACUGACUAAAGCUUUCAGCUUCAAUGUAUCUUCUCAUACAGGGGAAAUUAAGUUGUUGCAUCUUUAAUUACUUUAUAGCUUUUUUUUUUUUUGCCCAGGUGGAUCUGCAUUAAUUUGUAUUUUUCUAUGUACCAUGCUCUAGAACCCAUUAAUAAAGUUGUAUUUUUUUAAGUCAGCUAUUAAUCAGACUGACCUAAUAAACCAUAAGACAAGCAUCCUUAAAAAACAAACAAAAAAGACAGGCCUAAUGCUUCCCAAAGAUUUUUUAUUUUAAGUUUUGGCAAAAAUUAUGUUCCUUUUCUUAUAUUCACAGUAAUUUUGUAUAUCUAUAAAUAUGAACCUUCGUAUACUCCCCCUUUUAUGGUUUUAUGGCAAACAUAAGAAACCAUGCAUUAUUUUGUCAUGUAAAACAUUCUGUUAAAUACUUUCUCUUAAAAAUACUGAAAUCAAAAGGUAAAUCAGAUUACUUUGUGCAAAUGUUAUGCCAUUUAUUUUGUCUGUGAUUAUACUUCUAAAAAGCCAGGAUUGUCAGUUUGAUUUUCUACUUAAUGGGGAAAAAUUAAAUUUUAAGUUUUCAGAUGCUGUGGAAAAUUGUUUAGAUUUAACACAAACAAAAGAAUCCUUUUCAAGUUCUGUUAACCAGAGCUUUUUGAGCGCAUUUGUUAUACCAGAUCCUGCAGAGAAUAUUACUUUCAGCCAUAAUUGCUUUAUUGUUUAUAUAGCUAAAUAAUGAUGUGAUGCUAUCAACAUGCAGGAGUUUUGGAAAUGUGUUUUAAACCUGGUUCAGCUUUCAGGUGUUCUUAGUUUUACUGCAGACAUUUUUAAUUUUUCCCUAUUCCUUAUUUGAGAAUCCUAAUGCCAUUUUAAGUUUUUUAUACCAAUAAUGCUGAGCUUUAAUAAGUAGUAACUAAUAGGAUGGAAAGUAUGAUGGAUUAUGCUCAAAUGUUUAAAAUUGACAGUGUACAUGUCUAAUUUUUUUUUUCUGUUGGAUGAGUAAAAGAAAAACUUUAAAAAACUCAAAUUUGCUGUCAUGUUUUUGUGGAAUGAGGGAACCAUUGAAGAACUCACCACCAAAUGGAAUUGGAAUUAAGCAUGAAAAUGGUGCUCAUGCCUGUUGCUCUAGCCCACUGAAUCUGCACGUGUUUAUUGUAGAGGAUCUUUACUAUAUUAGAAAGAAAAUAUCUUCUGAAAACUAUUUACUCCAAAAGACCCUCUGAUUUAAAGUUUAAACUGUAUCAUUUAGACUUGUAUUUAGAACGUAUAACUCUUGUCUCUACUAUUACUGCCUGUAUGGAGUAAUGGACAUCAGAUUAACUUUUUUCCUCUAGGAGAAUACAAGCCUUAAUAAACAAUACCUAUUUAGCAA